GAAGCACUUGCGGUUUUAUUAUGAUUCGCCGCUAGUAAUGUUUCUAGUUUCCAUGUUAUUGGAACGAAUUUGGUUUUAUGCGACGGAAAUACGAGCUGCUGUUCACGUGACAUAUUCGACUAUUGCAAACAGAAAAUUGAUAAUUUCUAUGCACUGUUGCAACUCCGGUGUUUGGCGAUUCCUUCCAAAUUGAAAAAUAGAUUCUUUUGACCGAACACUACAGAAAAUCAGUUGUGUUUUCAUUUGAAAUACAGGUAUUUUUACACCAAAUAUCAGCUAAUCCAAAGCUGAUUAGGAUAUCAAAAUAUAACAGCUAUCCAGAAUUCUGCAAAAAACGAUAAAAUACAAAUAAUUUUUCGUCUAUUAUCAGAAUUUUAUAUGAAAUUCACCAAGAAGCAAGGGAGAUGGGCUCUCACCUUAUACGUGGCAAUAUGAAUAAAAUAUGGAUUCAUCAGUUGAAUAAACGAACAUUUCGUGCUCGAAUAACUGUAUUCACACAGGCCGUAUAAUGAUCACUUGGGUAUAUAUGAGUUUAUUUGAAGAUCUGAAGAGCAUUGAUUUGUUUUACGCUAAAGAAAGAAAUUGAAAACGGAUGCUAUUUUUGUGAAAGUACCUACUAAUUACGUCAAACUGCUCAACUGCUUGUUAAAAAAUAAUGAUAAUAGGAUAUAAUAUAUGAAAAUAUUUUUUUCUUA